AGAGAGAGCUUGCUUUCUCGAGCGAGUGGCGAACGGGUGAGUAACGCGUGAGGAACCUGCCUCAAAGAGGGGGACAACAGUUGGAAACGACUGCUAAUACCGCAUAAGCGCACAGUACCGCAUGGUACAGUGUGAAAAACUCCGGUGGUGUGAGAUGGACCCGCGUCUGAUUAGCUGGUUGGUGAGGUAACGGCCCACCAAGGCGACGAUCAGUAGCCGGCCUGAGAGGGUGAACGGCCACAUUGGGACUGAGACACGGCCCAAACUCC
rnacentral:rRNA from 1 species